AGUGAACGCUGGCGGUAGGCCUAACACAUGCAAGUCGAACGGCAGCACAGUAAGAGCUUGCUCUUACGGGUGGCGAGUGGCGGACGGGUGAGGAAUACAUCGGAAUCUACUUUUUCGUGGGGGAUAACGUAGGGAAACUUACGCUAAUACCGCAUACGACCUACGGGUGAAAGCAGGGGAUCUUCGGACCUUGCGCGAUUGAAUGAGCCGAUGUCGGAUUAGCUAGUUGGCGGGGUAAAGGCCCACCAAGGCGACGAUCCGUAGCUGGUCUGAGAGGAUGAUCAGCCACACUGGAACUGAGACACGGUCCAGACUCCUACGGGAGGCAGCAGUGGGGAAUAUUGGACAAUGGGGGGAAGCCUGAUCCAGCCAUACCGCGUGGGUGAAGAAGGCCUUCGGGUUGUAAAGCCCUUUUGUUGGGAAAGAAAAGCAGCAGGUUAAUACCCCGCUGUUCUGACGGUACCCAAAGAAUAAGCACCGGCUAACUUCGUG
rnacentral:rRNA from 1 species